GGUUUGGUGGUCUAGUAGUAUGAUUCACCCUUAGGGUCUAAGUGACGAUCUGGGUGAGGUCCCGGGUUCAAUUCCCGGCCAGACCC
rnacentral:tRNA from 1 species